rnacentral:rRNA from 1 species
GGUUAAGCGACUAAGCGUACACGGUGGAUGCCCCGUCAGAGGCGAUGAAGGGCGUGCUAAUCUGGCGAUAAGCGCCGGUAAGGUGAUAUGAACCGUUAUAACCGGCGAUACCCGAAUGGGGAAACCCAGGUGACCCCGUCACACUAUCAUUAACCGAACUAUAGGUUAAUGAGGCGCAGAACCGGGGAACACCUAAGUACCCCGAGGAAAAGAAAUCAACCGAGACCCCCAGUAGCGGCGAGCGAACGGGAGGAGCCCAGAGCCUGAAUCAGCAUGUGUGUUAGUGAAGCGUCUGGAAAGGCGCGCGAUACAGGCAUGUUCCCAGCGCAUGUGCUGUGAGCUCGAUGAGUAGUGGGCGGACACGCGGUAAUCCUGUCUGAACAACAUGGGGACCAUCCUCCCGGCGCCAACAAUUCCUGACCGACCAUAGUGAACCAGUACCGCGAGGGAAAGGCGAAAAAGAAACCCGUGGCGAGGGAGUGAAAAGAACCUGAAACCGUGUACGCACAAGAGGGAGCCCCACCACCAAAGCAUUCCUUCUGGUGUUGAAGGUCCUGCAGCAGCAGCAUCGCGGUGGCGGAGCGUCGUCGGUGACGCCCAACACACAAAAACAAGCGAGAGUGCUUUGGGGUGGGGGCACGCGCACCUUUGUAUAAUGGUCAGACUUAUAUUCUGUAGCGUUGGCUAACCGUAUAGGGAGCCGGGAGUGUUCCGAGUCUUAACCGCUAAGUUGCAGCAUAGACCCGAAACCCGGUGAUCAGCCAUGGGCAGGUUGAAGGUUGGGUAACACUAACUGAGGACCGAACCGACUAAUGUUGAAAAAUUAGCGGAUGACCUGGGUGGUGGCUGGGGUGAAAAGGCCAAUCAAACCGGGAGAUAGCUGGUUCUCCGAAAGUUAUUUAGGUAGCGCCUUCAGAAUUAUCUCCGGGUAGAGCACUGUUUCGCUUAGGGCCAUCCCGGCUACUCAACCCGAUGCAAAUCCGGUGAAUACCGGAGAAUGUUAUCUUCGGGAGACACACGGCGGAAGCACGUCCGUCGUGAAGAGGAAACAACCCAGACCGCCAGCCAAGGUCCCAAAGUCAUGGUUAAGGGAAACGAUGGGAAGGCCCAGACAGCCGUGAUGUUGGCUUAGAAGCAGCCAUCAUUUAAAGAAAGCGUAAUAGCUCACUGGUCGAGUCGGCCUGCGCGCGGAAGAUGUAUGGGCUAAACUUACGCACCGAAGCUGCGGCAGUAGCCACGCUUAUGCGUUGUUGGCAGGGGAGCGUUCUGUAAGCCUACAGAAGGUACCAGAGUUUAAGGUAUCAGAAGCGCGAAUGCUGACAUAGCAACGAUAAAGCGGGUGAAAAGCCCGCCUGCCGAAGACCAAGGGUUCCUGUCCAACGUUAAUCGGGCAGGGUGGAGUCGGACCCCUAAGGCGAGGCCGAAAGGCGAAGUCAUGGGAAACGGGUUAAUAUUCCGUACCUUGGUGUUACCGCGAAGGGGACGGAGAAGGCUAUGCUGGCCGGGCGACGGUUGUCCCGCAUUUAAGCGUGUAGGCGUGUUCCGUGCAAACCGGUUCACCUUUAACACCGAGCAUGACGAGGCACCGCCGGCGCUGAAGCAACAAAUGCCCUGCUCCAGAAAAGCCUCUAAGCAUCAGGUAACAUCAAAUCGCGUACCCCCAAACCGACACAGGUGGUCAGGUAGAGAAUACCAAAGGCGCUUGAGGAGAACCGGGUGAAGGAACCAGGGCAAAAUGGUGCCGUAACUGGGAGAAGGCACGCUGACGCGUAGGUGGAAGUGAUUUACCAUGGAGCUGAAGUCAGUCGUGAAGAUACCAGCUACGGCGCACCAGUUUAUUAAAACACAGCACUAAAACACGAAAGUGACGUAUACGGUGUGACGCCUGCCCGGUGCCGGAAGGUUAAUUGAUGGGGUCAGCGCAGCAAGCGAAGCUCCCCGAUCGAAGCCCCGGUAAACGGCGGCCGUAACUAUAACGGUCCUAAGGUAUGAAAUUCUUGUCGGGUAAGUUCCGACCCGCACGAAUGGCGUAAUGUAUGGCCGCUGUUCCACCCGAGACUCAGUGAAAUUGAACUCGCCAGAAGAUGCAGUGUACCCGCGGCAAGACGGAAAGACCCCGCGAACCUUUACUAUAGCUUCUGACACUGAACAUUGAGCCUUGAUGUGUAGGAUAGGUGGGAGGCUUUUGAAGUGGACGCCAGUCUGCAUGGAGCCGACCUGAAAUACCACCCUUUAAUGUUUGAUGCUCCUAACGUAACGUGAUCCGGGUUGCGGACAGUGUCUGGUGGUAGUUUGAUUGGGGCGGUCUCCCCUCCUAAAGAGUAACGGAGGAGCACGAAGGUUGAAGCUAAUCCCGUCGGACAUCAGGAGGUUAGCGCAAUGGCAUAAGCCAGCUUGACUGCGAGCGUGACGGCGCGAGCAGCAGGUGCGAAAGCAGGUCAUAGUGAUCCGGUGGUUCUGAAUGGAAGGGCCAUCGUCAACGGAUAAAGUACCCUGACAACAGGCCGAUACCGCCCAAGAGUUCAUAUCGACGGCGGUGUUUGGCACCCGAUGUCGGCUCAUCACAUCCCAAGAACGAUGAGAACGUCGCGUGAGACAGUUCAAGUCCCUAUUCGCCGUGGGCGCUGGAGAACUGGAGGGGGGCUGCUCCUAGUACGAGAGGACCGGAGUGACGCAUCACCGGUGUUCGCUGUCAUGCCAAUGGCACCGCCCGGUAGCUAAAUGCGGAAGAGAUAUGAAAGCAUCUAAGCACGAAACUUGCCCCGAGAUGAAAGCCUCCCUGAGAUUCAGGGUUCCUGAAGGAACGUUGAAGACGACGACGCUGAUAGGCCGGGUGUAAGCGCAGCGAUGCGUUGAGCUAACCGGUACUAAUGAACCGUGUGGAGGUUUAACCUG